UACGAAGGGGGCUAGCGUUGCUCGGAAUCACUGGGCGUAAAGCGCACGUAGGCGGACUCUUAAGUCGGUGGUGAAAUCCUGGAGCUCAACUCCAGAACUGCCUCCGAUACUGCGAGUCUCCGAGUCCGGGAGAGGUGAGUGGAACUGCGAGUGUAGAGGUGAAAUUCGUAGAUAUUCGCAAGAACACCAGUGGCGAAGGCGGCUCGCUGGCCCGGUACUGACGCUGAGGUGCGAAAGCGUGGGGAGCAAACAGG
rnacentral:rRNA from 1 species